UGGGGGAUAUUGCACAAUGGGCGAAAGCCUGAUGCAGCGACGCCGCGGGGGGGAUGAAUGCCUUCGGGUUGUAAACUUCUUUUGCUCUGAACAAGGCGCACCAUGGGGUGUGUUGAGUGUAGGGGUUGAUUAGCGCCGGCUAACUACGUGCCAGCAGCCGCGGUAAUACGUAGGGCGCGAGCGUUGUCCGGAAUUAUUGGGCGUAACGUGAUUGUAGGUGGCUGGUUGCGUCUGUCGUGAAAGCUCAUGGCUUAACUGUGGGUUUGCGGUGGGUACGGGCUGGCAUGCGUGGAGUAGGGGAGGCUGGGAUACCUGGUGUAGCGGUGGAAUGCGCAGAUAUCAGGAGGAGUACCGGUGGCGAAGGCGGGUCUCUGGGCUGUUACUGACACUGAGGAGCGAAAGCAUGGGGAGCGAACAGG
rnacentral:rRNA from 1 species